CAUACAAAUUUACAACAAAGUCUUCAUGUUAUGUAUCCUGAGUUUGGACAGGAUAAUAUUACCCGCUUAAAAUAUUUCCAUCGCGAUACAUAAUACUCAAUAAAUGUAAUAGAUUCGUAGUUAAGUGUUGUAAUUAGUUUUGAACUGCUGAAGUUUAUACAGCCCUAAUAUAUAACAACCUUAGAAAAGCAAACUUAUUUGCCUUCGUUUUUAAACCUACUUUCAGCGUUUAUCAGCAGCUACAAUUAAGGUACGUACCUAUAAUUAAUACGUAGAAUCUAGUUAAUUGUAAUAACAUACACCAUUGAUAGCUUCGUGAUAUUUUCUAGCAAAUAUUAGAAACUGACUGGAAAUCCGGUGCUUUCCCUUUCAAAUGGCAAAAGCGAGAAGAUCUUUAUAUCGUCAAUUAAUGAUAAUUUAAUUUAAUUUUAAGUUAUUACUAAACAACUCCAGGAACGAAGACGAUGCUGUAUAAAGACUAUACGAAGGUUCAACAGGAAGAAAGAGAGGAUAUCAGCUUCAACCAAUCAAUGAGAAUUGAAGAUUACAGAAACGAACUUCAUGGCAUUGAUAAGUGAUGAAUACCCUGAAAAAGAAACAAAACUCCAUCACUACCCUUUCUCAGCAGGAACGAACCUUUCAACUGAAAAAACAAAAUGUGAACUCUUUGUAAAC